AAGGUGGGACUGGCGAUUGGGACGAAGUCGUAACAAGGUAGCCGUACCGGAAGGUGCGGCUGGAUCACCUCCUUUCUAAGGAGCA
rnacentral:rRNA from 2 species